rnacentral:siRNA from 1 species
AGGAAGCAAACACUGAGUAUGACU